UGCUUUUGCUUUCUCCCCCGCGCCGCCGGCGGGGACGCCUCUCCUCUCCCGUCGUCGCCCGCCUGGCCGGGGCCUCUCUCUUUAACGCGGCCGUGCGGGUGCGGCAGCAGCAUGUGGGAGGAGGACGCCAUGCCCGGCGGCGGCAUGUCCCCGCCCCGGGCCGGGCCCAGAUCCUCACGUGAGUGCCCGGGGCACGCUGACGCCGCCGGCUGCCGGCGCCAGUCCUCCCCUGGGCAGGCCGGGCCACGGCGCCUGGCGCUGCCUCCUGCCGAGCAACUGUUCCCAACCCGCCAUGACGCGAGCUCGCUGCCGACCUCUGCAGCUGCUGCAGCAGCCUGUGGGCGCUCCGCUUGGACUCGAUGGGGUUGCUGUUCCGCUCGUGUGUCUGCAGGAGCAGUGAUCCUGGCCACUGUUCCGUCCCCUUUCUUUUAGCAAUUGCAGUUGCACUAGUCCAGGAUUUUACUCAUUUACCAUUUGCUGCUAGAGAGUUGAUGAUCAUAAAGGUCGCUGCAAAUGCUGCAGCUCGAAGGGAUGUCCUAGAUAUUGCUCAGAUUUUUUAGGCCCAGAAAGUUGACAUAUCAGACCACACAAUUACACUGCAGGUAACUGUUAUUGAAGAGCUUUUUCCCUUUUUUUGGUGAAAAGCUCCUGCAGGGCUAUUGGUGAAAAGCUCCAAAGACACUUGGGGCCAACAAUGAACAUUGUAAUUACUACCCACACCAACAGGUUCUACAAGUUUCGCUAUUCUAAAUUUCUAAUACAUGGAUCUGGCUGAACUUGUAUUAUCAAAAGAGAAGCUUACUA